ensembl:miRNA
GCUGUGAGGAUAUGGCACUGUGGUUCCUGCAUGAAAACAGUAGCUGAUGGUGCCUGGACCUACAACACCACCUCUGCAGUCACAGUAAAGUCUGCC